AGAACAAUUGAGAUGUAUUCUCAUACUCGAUGGAAUCAGAUAAGUAGGAACGAUCAACAAACUGCAAGUAGUACACGUUUCUUAUCUUAACAAAUACAAUAAUAUUCGUAUUAAAAUAUUAUUUACAGGCUCCACAUAUAUCUCAACACAAACAAAUACACAAAUGCUUGACAGGUGACUGGGCCAAGUGCAUUCACUCGUAGGACCUAUCAUUUCGAUGAUCGCCUCGAUUCCACGAAACCAGUGCACAAGUAAACUGACAUAAGCUAGUCUCAUCUGGUGAAUGCAUGUAAUCUGAAAACCCCAGACACGAGAGGACGAGACGGACAGACUGGACUCGACGAGGCCUAGUUUAGAGUUUUUGGGCAUUCUGCAAUGCACGCUAUAUCAAAGCCGGAAAUAUCCUGCUGACCGAACGGGGCGUAGACAAGCUAGCCGAUGGGGAUAGAGCAGCUAUCAAAUGCCCUGCCAAUAGUUUUGGAGGAUGAUUUUUACAGGAUGGCCCCGGAAGUGAUUCAAGCGACGUAUGAAGGACAGUAUGAUGGCAAGGUGGAUCACUCGGAAUUUCCUGUAUCGAACUGAUGGAACGGAAACCUCCCUACUUCAACAUGAAUGAAAUGUCGGCGUUGUAUCACAUUGCGCAAAAUGAGGCCCACGUUGCAGGCUAUGGACUGGGCAGAUGUAUUCCGCAGUUUGUUUUUUAUUUGAAGAAAUCCUCAGUAGAGUGACCAAACUCUAAUAAACUGUAAACUCAUUCAUUAAGAACUAGGAUACGAUCACCAAAUGUGUUAAUUGAUUUGAUAGCAUGAACGAAAGCUGCCGUUAGAAAAUUGGACAAUCUGAACUACAGGAAGAUGAAAAAAAUUAAUGGUCGACUCUUGCGAAACGUAAGUAACGUCGGCGACGCGGACACACCGGACGAGCGAAGCGGUGACAACAGUAGCAAAAAUAGCAGUAUCACCUCAGAACAUUCACUACACUCGAUGGACCAGCAUGGCGGAAUUAUACGGAAUGCUUCAAAGCAUCGGUUGCCAGGAUCCGGGUUGCCACCAAUGCACAACAGCAGUAUGAACAUCUCUAGUAGUCGGAACGGUUUGAUAACUGACGAUGGUAUUGGUCGGAUGGGUUUCGGAAUUAGUGGAGGCAAGUAGAAGUUAUUCUGAUUCCGGGAGCAUCAGUGCCCAAGGUACGGGUUACCAAAACUUGUUUAGCCCCGUUGUAUCUUAUCACCAUUCACAUCAUAAUCACGUGUCUCAAGCGACUGCUAAUGAUUUUGCCGAAAAUGGUGCCAAUAACUUUGCUACCAUUAGAACGACCAGUAUUGUGAAGAAGCAGCAAAAGAAAAAUAUGCAAGAUUUGUUUGACUAUCGUAUUAAAAAUGGUUGUGUUGAUUAACUUUUUUUAUCUUGUUAGCGUAAAUUAGCGUUGGUGAAACAAGAGAAAACAUGUAAAAUGGAAAUGGAGCAGCAUAAAGUAGCUCUAGACCAUGAAUAUGAUCUGCUAUUAUAUAAUGUUAUUAGAGAACUAGAGAAAUUAUCGGUAUUUAGCACAAUGGUGUAACAGAUGCUUCAAUCCAGGCUAAACAUCAGCAAGAAAUUGAACGCAGGACGAAGCAAAAAAACGUUGUGAGAAACAACUUUACAAAGAAAUAUUGGCACCACAUGAAGGAAACUGGAAGGCAUUUGAUUUGCAUAAAAAAGAAUACAAAGCGAAUAAGGAACGCUGGAAGUGCGAACUGUCGAUGGACGAGUCUACUACCAAGCGACAAUGUUAGGCUGCUUUAGACAUUAAAAAGAAUGACAUGAAGCAAGCGAAGACUAAAGAAGAGCAACAAAUGCUGCGGAUACUAAACAACUACAUCGAGCUAGAAAUGCGCAAAUUCCGGAGGAAAAAGAUUAUGCUUUUGCACGAGCUGCACAGAGAUUUACGUUCACUUUGAUCUGAUGGACUCAACUGCUUUAACACCAUGGCCAUUGUUUGAUUUUGUUUGCAACGAGAAUUGAGCAAGAAGCAGCAGGUGAUAUCUUAAAAACACGAGAGCGAGCUACGUACAUGGACCGGGUCGCACGGGAGCUGAUGGUGAAGCAUGCGCUAGCGCUCAAGUAGCAACCCAAAAGUCUGAAGGUAAACUAAAACGUGUAAAACUUAAGUAUAAGAAACUGAAUGUUCAAGUCCUGCCGAAAACGCCUAAAAAUGAGCAAAAAGCUGUGAUAAAGCCAUUGAAAGAAGAAAAACAUCGCAAGUUAACGGUGAUCAGGAAGGAACAAAGUAUUGCCGAUAUCGUGCAGAAGCAAAGCUUACGACUCUAUGUAAGUCAGGAAGUCGAAGGACCGGCUGCAGUAUGAAUUGAACACUCUUGGCACUUACCAGAGUAAGAACCGCGUGCAAGCAGAAGCUCAGCGGGAUCGUGAAUGAGUUCAAUCGGUUUCUGGCGGACAAUAUUAACGUGUUCAAUUUUUUUUUCAAUUCGUUUAUUUGAUAAGGCAGGUUUGCGUUAGUUUAAAGGUGCCAAUUUUGUUUUGUUUUACAUUUUAAAUUACUUAAAACUAGGGGCUUACAUAUUGAUUUUUGAAAUUAAACUAAGGCUAAUUUAUAGCUAUACAUAUACACAGGGGGGUAGUAUAAUUUUCGUAAGAUUAGAGGGGUCAUUUAGUUUUUAUGGCAAUAUGGUUUGACAUUUUUAGCAAUGAGAUUAUUGGAGCAAAUAAUGUUUAACUAAGGGGGAAAAUUUUUACGACUAUCUUAAAAGUAGAAAUAAUUAGAGGGCGUGAUUAAAUUUUGUAAAGAUUCGGAGACAUUAAUUAGAGUUAUUUUAUGUGGUAGUAGAGUUGGGCAUUUUCAACGAGAUCAUAUAAUAUAAUAGUUAAAACUAGAAAAGGCAAGAAGAGCUAAAUGCUUCAUGAAGAUAUUUGGGGGGAAGGGGUGUUAUUUCUGUGUAU